rnacentral:tRNA from 1 species
UAAAGCGCCCAACUCAUAAUUGGUAAAUUUGCGGGUUCAAUUCCUGCUGGAUGCA